ACAACCCAUGUAAUACAUAAGGGAAAGAGAUACAUAGUUGGCUUACAAUCGCCACUUCACACAAUUACAAGAAUAAAGCAUUACAACAUCCAAAUACAAUCAAGGUCCGACUACGAAACCCAAAAUAAAAGAAGACUACCCCAAAUGCGACAAGGUCCCCGAUCCCCAACUGGGCUCCACUACUGAUCAACUAGAACGAAACAACACAAAGGACAAGAUCUUCAUCGAGGUCCUCCUAAGCUUGGUUGCGUCAUCUACACGGACUCAUCGGCACCUGCAAGCUGGUUUGGAAGUAUCUGUGAGCCACGGGGACUCAGCAAUCUCGCACCCUCGCGAUCAAGACUAUUUAAGCUUAUGGGUAAGGUAAAAGGUAUGAGGUGGAGCUCUAGCAAGCGACUAGCAUGUAUGGUGCUAACAUACGCAAAUGAGAGCGAGAAGAGAAGGCAAAGCACGAUCGAGAAACUAUGAUCAAGAAGUGAUCCUAGAACAACCUACGUCAAGCAUAACUCCAACACCGUGUUCACUUCCCGGACUCCGCCGGAAAGAGACCAUCACGGUUACACACGCGGUUGAUGUAUUUUAAUUAAGAUAAACUUCAGGUUUUCUACAACCGGACAUUAACAAAUUCCCAUCUACCCAUAACCGCGGGCACGGCUUUCGAAAGUUCAAAUCCCUGCAGGGGUGUCCCAACUCAGCCCAUCACAAGCUCUCACGGUCAACGAAGGAUAUUCCUUCUAGCGGGAAGACCCGAUCAGACUCGGAAUCCCGGUUACAAGACAUUUCGACAAUGGUAAAACAAAUCCAGCAACACCGCACGAAUGUGCCGACAAAUCCCGAUAGGAGCUGCAAAUAUCUCGUUCUCAGGGCACACUCAGAUGAGCUCUCCAUACAACUAAAACCAAACCUCGAGUUUCCCCGAGGGGGCGCUGCACAGGACUCUAGUUUGGACCAACACUCAGAGGAGCAUUGGCCUGGGGGGUUAAAAUAAUGAUGACCCUUGAGUCUGCAGAACCCAAGGGAAAGAAAAAGGCUAGGUGGCGAAUGGUAAAACCAAUGUUGGGCAUUGCUGGAGGAGUUUUAUUCAAGGCGAACUGUCAAGGGGUUCCCAUUAUUACCCAACCGCGUAAGGAACGCAAAAUCCGGGAACAUAACACCGAUAUGACGGAAACUAGGGCGGCAAGAGUGGAACAAAACACCAGGCAUAAGGCCGAGCCUUCCACCCUUUACCAAGUAUAUAGAUGCAUUAAUUAAAUAAGAGAUAUUGUGAUAUCCCAACAAGUAAACAUGUUCCAACAAGGAACAACAUCUCCAUGUUCCAACAAGGAACAAACUUCAAUCUUCACCUGCAACGAACAACGCUAUAAGAGGGGCUGAGCAAAGCAGUAACAUAGCCAAACAACGGUUUGCUAGGACAAGGUGGUUUAGGGGCUUGGUUCAACAAUAUGGAAGGCAUGAUAAGCGAGUGGUAGGUAUCGCAGCAUAGGCAUAGCAAAAGAGCGAGUAACUAGCAAGCAAAGAUAGAAGUGAUUUCGAGGGUAUGAUCAUCUCGCCUGAAAUCUCGCAAGGAAGAAGAAGGAGUCCAUGAAGAAGAUACACAGACGUAGUCGAACGGAUCCUCACACACACGACGUUAUCGGAACCAAGCCGAAGAAGCAACACCGGAAAGAAGCAAACAACAUAGUAAACCACCAACACAUCAACAUGGCAUGAUGCACAAUCGAGUAUGAUGCAUGUCCGGUUUAAUGAAGCAUGGCAUGGCAAAGUGCACAAACAAUCCUACAAAUUAAGUGGAGCUCAUUAUGCAACUCCGUUGCAUAUUGACGAAACACCACGUGACUUAUUUAGUUUGAUCUUGUUUAUGUACCCAACAAUAUUAAAUGUUGUUAAACAUGACAAGAGGGUGAAGCAUGAUGAAACUAUCUAAUCUAGGCAAGUUUAAAUGAGGCCAGAAGCAAUGAACAACAAUUCCGGAAACUCCUCAUGAGCAUAUUAUAGAUUUGGUACUGUUCUGACCUAAACACAAUUUUAGAGUUGUUAAACAUGCAAAGAGAUGCCACCAUGUUAAACUAUGCAAAAUUCUACCCCAUUUGCAUAUAAAGUUUAUUAAAUUCCGAGUUACAGUUAUUUAGUUAUGAAAUAAAGCAUUUUAGCAAGUUAUUUGAACAAAUUUAAACAAACAGCAUUUUAAACAUUUUAAACAUGGAUGAAAGUUGCAUAUUAUUAAACUAGACAAAAUUCUAAGCAACUUUCAUAUAUAAUGUUUUUACAUAUGAUGCAUGGUUGUUGAGUUUUAAAAUGCAUGGAGUUUGAGGGUUUUUCUACAAAACUGGAAAAUCCUGGAUAAAUACUAAAUUCGCAGAGAGGGAAAAAGACAUGGGCUGAAACGGAACCGAGCUGGGCUGGGGAAGCUCCUCACAUUGGGCCUCGGCCUGUUCGGAGAGGAGACAGACUGGUGGAGAGACUGGACCUCAACGCCUUGCUGGGCCGCGAUGAAGCACAAGGCGAGGCCGGCCCAGGCACUCGAUUGGGAUGCAGCAUCGGCUGGUCAACGCGCAGGGCACGGGACGAGUGGCCUGCUCGUUGUAGAGGAAGCACAGGCCACGGCAUGGAGGAAGCAAAGCAGCUGCAGCUUGCAGGAGGCGAUGCGAGAUGGCGCUGGAUGAAUCCGGGCAGGAGGUUGUUCCAGACAACGGCAGCGGAGCUUGGCAGAGCCGUCCCUCCAUGGCGGGCCAAGGCAUGAAGCAGGGCGGCAGCUCCAGGGACUUGGUGCACGGCGGAGCGGCUUGAACGGGAGGAGAUCGCCGGAUCCGGGGCUAGGGAGGAGAUGGAGCUCCGUUCGGAGGUAACUCGCAGUAGAUCGGGCGGAGACGAGGCGGGGUCAUGGAAGAAGCAGAGGAUGCAGGCAACAACGGGAUCGUGCAGGCGAAGCAGUGGGCGGCACCGAGCUCGUUCCCGAGCAGAGGUGCGGUACGGGCUUGAGCGCUGGGCAUGGCUCUCGCACGAGCAGCACAGGGGAAGAAGACGCGAUGGCAUCAGCGGCUGCGGGACUUGGUGACGAGUUCACUCCGGCAAGGGACAUGUCGGGGCGACGACUCGUUCGUGGCGAUGGAGCUUGGCGAGGCGGCGACCGGGGUGACGAACUGGAGGAGGUACUCGGGCGGCUCGGCGGCUCGGCGGGUGAUGCGUGCAACGAGGAGGAGGGAGCUCGUGCUCCUGUUGCUGCUCGGGAUGGUCUGCUGGUUGCUGCUGCUCGCCGGCAGCGACUGGGUCGACGACGGGGUCGAGGUGCACCUCGGCGCCGUGGGUGCUACGGGAGAGGUAGGCGCACGGGCAGAGGAGCUCUGGCUCCUGCAGGAUUCGGGCGACGGCGGUGGUUGGACGGGAGGGGAAAACAAGGAGAAGGUGGAGGCUGCGAUUCGUCUCGGGUGGAACUGGAUCAGGAUGAUCCUGAGGGGGAUUGUGAGUGGGUGGCGGCGGCGCGAUGGGACAAAGGGGAGGAUUUUUAGGGUUGGACUAGAUUUAGACUAGGGAGUAUAUAUAUAAGUAAAGAGGGGAGUUUGGAUCAUCUGAUUGAAAUUCGACGGUCGAGAAUAAAUGGGUUAGGAAAUCCAAAUGAUAAAACGGUGAUGUUUUGUAGAUGUUUGGGGAUGAUCCAGAUCCAACGGUGACGACUGCCCGGGUCGGGUCCGAGACAACUUUCGGACACGCGCGCGAGGAGGGCCGCGAGCUGACGAGAGAGGUUAGGUUGGGCCUGGCGGUAGGUAGUGAGCCGUGUAGACGGUCUCGAGCUGAGAGAAGACAAGAGAGAGAGGCCCGGCGACUGUUUCCGGAGAUUGAAAACGUCCGACGUUAGACCGGCUAUACUGCCGCUGUAGUUAUCCAUUGGGGCAUCAAACGAUCUCCGAAUGCGAUGAAACUUGACAGGUGGUCUAUCUACACUAAAAUAAGACCACACGCCAACUCUCAUCCCAUUCCAAGAACAAUUUUCCGACCACUUCUAAAAUAAUAUUUCGGACAUGCCGCGGGCGCGUGCAAGUGUGUCUGGGCUCAGAACGGACAACGGAGAGAACGAGGGGACCGGGACGGAUGCAAGUUUUGAAAACAUGAUGAUGCAAUGCGGAUGAUGACAUGGCAAGAUGCAACACGCAAGCAAAAGACAAGGCAACAACAGCGAAAAACUGGAGGACACCUGGCACAUCGGUCUCGGGGCGUCACAACACUCCACCACUACGAGAGGAUCUCGUCCCGAGAUCUAGAAUGGCACCGGAGGGAAAACAGAAGAGAAAGAGAAGAGGUAAAACUAAGUUGCUCCUUUCACAAACGAGUGAGACCAAAGAACCUUGCGAGGUUGAACAAUUUCGAGAAAAAAAUACAACUGAGAUGAACGAAGUUGAAAACACUCUGUUAUCAAAGAGGAACAAGGAAGAACAACUUUGAGCAGCACUCCGAAUGAAAAGAGAUGCAAGAAAAGAUAAGUAGAAAGAACUUUAAAAGGGGCACGACACUCCGGUUAAACGGAUAAACCAAGAAAAGAACACGAUCCUGACAAAACAAGAAGAUGGGUUGAAGAGAGCAACAUCGCAAUGCCUCCGGAAGAAAGAAAUAGAAGAUAGAUAAUUAAAAGAAAUAAUGGAGAAGAAAAUGCCAGUUUCUGCCACAAAAGAGCUUGAAAAAGCAUCCUUAGGAGAAGGGUCGAACGGAGUUGUUAGAACACCAACAACGAAAAGAAUAAGCUUGAAAUGGUCUUAUGGAGUACAUCUCAAAUUAUGAGGUGACAACCUGCCACUCACGGGAAAAAGAAUUGGAUUGAUAAGAACAAGGAGACGAGAAACUAUUUCACCGGGAGGAUAAAUGAAAAUCUUGGAUCAUAUAUUAUCACCAUUAAUAGCAUUACUCCUUAGGGAAAGCUUUUGGUGAAAUAUAACCCAAGAUAAUUCCAAUGACGUUGAUUGAUGGAUUUAAAAUAUCUCAUUCAUGACAACAUGUGAAUCAUGAAGCAUGAAUUCCAAAUUAUCAAGAAUGACAUAAUACUACCUCCAAUAAUAUGGUAGAAAGAAUUUGCACUCCGGAUUACAAGAUGAAGAAACUUGAGCUGCUUUGAAAAGAAUCUUGAUGAACACUUCGAGAAGGAAUUAAUUCGUUGCCGAAGCAUCAUGUAGAGCCUCCAUGAAGAACUCCGGUAAACAAAAAGGAUGAUCACACGAGAGGAAAGAGAAGUUGAUAAUAUAAGGUGAAGCCUUGGAAUGAUUAAAUGGAGCUUCGGGACGAUCUAAUGAGGAAACUUUGAACUCCGGAAAGAAAGAUGAGCAAAAGAAACCAAGAAUUUUUCAAUGAACCUCCGGAAUAAGGAAUUGAAUUUACUUGAUGAAAUAAAAAUAAGAAUUACAUUAUGCUUAUCCUUCACCAAUUAAAUUGAUGACAAUCAACGGAUUUGGCAUAUUACUUAUUCUCGUAGAAAAGAUUAAGAGAGAUAUGGCGCCAACUUGAGAAGGUCUUCAACGAACCACCGGUAGGAUUUGGAAAAAACGAAUGAAUUGAUACAAUAACAAAGGAAGAGAAAUCUUGAACGAACCACCGUAGGAAUUGGAAAUGAACGAAAUAAAGGGGUGAAUCACCGGUAAGAAUUAACAAAUGAAUGAAGAUACAUGAGAGAGUUUAGAUACAAAAGAACGAAGAGAUCAUGAACUGAUUAGAGAAUAUUUGAAUGAUGCACUGGUAACAUUUAGAGAACUAGAGCUGAAAGUUGAGAAAUGAAUAAUUCUGAGAAGAUGGGCUCUGGAUAAACAAACUGAGAAGACUCUUGAACUGCUCCGGAUAGGUGAAAAGAAUUCUCACAAUCCAAAAACAACUAUGAGAGGAUGGCAACAAGCUAGAAUGACGAAUCUUGAAGAGAAUGGAUCAAGAAUGAGAGAAACUCUUCUUCGGUCUUCAAAUGUUGAGAAUGACGAGGAGAAACACCACCAUGAAUUAUUGAGGCACACCGGAAUGAAGAAUGGAAAAGUUGAGCCAACGAUGAAAAGAAUUUGAAAGAUCUUGGAGAAAUACAUAUGACUGAUGCUGAAUCAUUCUUAUGUCAAACUUUGAAAAGAAUUUGAUUAUAACUCCGGAAAAAUAAGAAGAGUCAGGUAAGAUCCUGGGAGAAGACCUGUGGGUUAGGGCCCACUCAAAAGAAACACCGUUGAAAUGAUUUAAAAGAGAGGUUGCACCGGUUGAAUUAAAAUGACUUGAAUGAGAUAACAACCUGGAAAGAUCUUGAACGAAUGCAGAGUGGAAAACACGAAUCUUCAAGAUAUCUUGAGCACUCCGGAACAAAUGAAUAGCGAGAAAUGAAUGGUUAUGAGGUGCACCGGCACGAGAAAAGCAUUUGAAACGAUGAAAAAGGAUAUGAUCAACACCAAAGCUUGAUUUAAAUCCACCGGAGAAGAAAAGAAUGAAGAAUGAUGAACUUGAGGCCCGUUAGAAUCUUCAUGAGAAUCACUGGGUAAGAACGUUAACGGAAAGGAAUGGAGAGACUUCACAUGAAUAAAAUGGAUACUUGAUAAAGAAAUCCGAGUCCUUGAAGAAAAACAAGGGAGGGAGGGCGGGAAAAACAAAGGCAACUUGGAGAUGAAUGAAACAAACAACAUUGAGAAGAACUGAUAAUUGAUCUUGCGAAUGUUGAAGAUGAUUGGAUCCACUUGAAGAGAAACACGCCGGUUGAAAAAGGAUUGACAUGGCAAUCUCGAUUAUCAUGAAGGAUUAGUGUUCACAUCGGAGUAUGAGAACACCGUUUAGGAAAGGUAUGGAAUGAACAUUUGACUUCGAAGCAACUCGAAUACCACAACUCAAAACAAAACAAAGGAUUGGCUUGUAGAAUAAGCCGGAACAAACAUAUGAUAGAGAUUUCAUCCGAAGUUUUCAUGGUGGGGCCUACACGGGCUCGAUUGUAUAGCACCAUCAUGUACAAGGUAGUGCACAUGACAUAUGGAGCGUCCCCGAGUCGGCAUAGCCAAGGACUCUUUAAGACACAACGAGACCACUAUAAACCAACCGUGAAUAGGCGGACCACUAGACGUCGAACCCCAAUUUCAUAUCAUACAUCUGUUGGAAAGAUAUCCUAAGAGCUACUUGAAUUCCCACUUAUAAACUCCCGAAAUUUUCCGGUUAUGCAAUCGGGUGUUGGGGAUACAGGGGAAGCAUAAUAUCUCACCCAAAACUAGCAAAUCCUACAUCUAGCUGUAUCCAUCCUUCAACACAUAACCAAGAAACCUUCAGAAAUCGUCUACCUCAACCUUCGAAAAAACAUCCGUUAUAUGAGUUAUGGCAAUACUCCCGAACUCCCGCCCCAGUACUGGGUGGCGUCGAGGUUAUCUCACCAACAACUGCAUAAAAGAGAUUUUCGAUGUUGGCGAAACUAAACUUAGGUAUUCCAGAACUGCAAUGAUAAAAUUGUGACGACAACACCUCGGAGCUCAACUCCCCGGGACAUCGCCACAACCCCUAAAUGUCAGGAGGCACCAAGAACAAUGUUCUCGUCACAAAACCAUCGGAACGAUUCCAAGAUACCCGCGUGAUCCUAAAUUUUUUUAGUGAAAUUUGAGAAGAGAAGAGUCAAAACUCUACGUCAGGAUGCCUUACCAGAGCGAUGAAGGGAGUGGGGAGUAAAAAGAAUUCCUAAACUCUCCGAUAUAUAAUUCCUAUAAGACUCAAAACAUUUUUCUAGACUCAACAACGGCUGCUAAUAACGAUCAGGCAGUGGGGGCUCCUAAGGUCGGGGAAGGCUCUGAUACCACUUGUAACGCCCAUGAUGCGGCUAUAUCUCCCACGUGUCGAAGCAUGACUUAGAGGCAUAACCGCAUUGUAAGCAAUGUCGCAAGUGAGGUAAUCUUCACACAACCCAUGUAAUACAUAAGGGAAAGAGAUACAUAGUUGGCUUACAAUCGCCACUUCACACAAUUACAAGAAUAAAGCAUUACAACAUCCAAAUACAAUCAAGGUCCGACUACGGAACCCAAAAUAAAAGAAUACUACCGCAAAUGCGACAAGGUCCCCGAUCGACCCCAACUGGGCUCCACUACUGAUCAACUAGAACGAA
rnacentral:lncRNA from 1 species